ACUAUGAGGACAGAGCUGUUUGUUUUGUUCACUGCUGAAUCACCAACACCUACAACAGUGCUUGGCACAUCAUAGGCUGGUUUUAGGUCAACGACAAUAAAACGUGAAUUCUGGAGAUUCAAAACCUCAAAUCUUCAACUUUUCACCUCGCACUUUUAUUCCUGGGACAAAAACUUGCUCAGCACAUCUCUUCCUAAAUUCCAAGACAGGCUGCUUGUUCUGUUCAGUCAAGAAUGCCAACCCAAGAAACAUUUUUGAAAGAUCACAGUCAACGUCAUUGCCAAAAGAAGAAGCUCUUGGCACACAAAGAACCUGGUUCAAUAUGAGAUGCCAGAUGGUGAUUUCAACUUCAGCUAAAUUCCUGCUGAGAAGUAUUUGAACUGCAGAUGAGAAAAUCUUCUGUGACAAAUUUCCAAGUGUUAGAAGCUUCAGAGGAAAAUGGCAAGUGUUGAUACCCUCUCUCCCCGCAACCACCACCACCAACCACAUGCACACAUACCAUGGAACAUACCUGCAUCUGGUAGCUAAGAUUCCAACAGAUGCCUCUGCCUUUUAAAAAGCCUAUGGACCCUGAUUUGAUUUUUACUAAAAGUAUAUUAACUGAGUCCAUUGGAAGCAAAUACCAUUUGAUUAAUAUGCAGUGCUUUUUCAAAGGGUGCGUUCCCUUAGCAUCGGAGAUAACUCUUUCCUGUCUUCCAAUAAUUCUGUUGUUAAUUGAUAAUUAAUUGAUAGUCAACUGAUACUCAGUGUAUCUCCCCUCCCUAGAUACUUUCAAAUUCCAGGAGAUACAUGUGAGGCAUAAAUUGAUGGUGCUCUGCCUGGAUGACCUUGAAUCUCUUUUGCUGGUUCUGUGUGCCCACACCCCAGCUUCAGUGUAUUUUGCUUUCUAAUGAUUAGCUUCUGCAACUAUCUUCAGAGGGUUGCCCUUGAACUACUGAAUUUCACCUGUUUGCACAGAGAACUGAAAGUGCCUGGGAGCUUACUGUGGCCCUGAGAUGCCCACAGCCAAUGAGUCACUGGUACAGGAAAUUGAAAGCCCAGCUCCCCCGAAUCAAGUCUGGGAAAAUUCUGAGGUGUAAUAUAUGCUCCAGAGCUCCAGUCAGCAAUAGGCUGAGACUGGGACUCUGCCUGAAUAACACUUGCACUUGGCUUUUUCCCUCCUUCUUUCCCUGUGUUGCUCCUGCCUCCCCACAUACCCCCUUGGAGGUCUCUCCUGUAACACAUCUUUCAUAUAACUCAUGUACAAAUUCUCGUCUUGGGAUCUGCUUCUGGGAAACUGACCUGUGAUGAUUCUGGGCAAUGGAAAAGUUCGAGUAUCCUGCUAAUAAAGAAAACAGAAAUUCUUUCUAGAACAAGGAACAUAUGCGUGCCUACUUUAUCAAUCAAAGUCUCAGAAGGAAAUAGUGGAUAAAGUCAAAGUAGGUAUUUGGAGAAAGAGUAGUAAUAAAGGGACUAUUUCCAAAGGUGUGGACUGGGUUCAGAGAGACAAGGAUAAGUGCCCACCUGGAAGCUAGGACCAGGAUGUGCCAUUGCCAACUCUAGGCCUCACUGGUAAAAGGAGAGUGUGGCUUUGCAAGCUGGUGACAGAAAUGUGUGGAGAGGCUGUGAGACAGGAGCUGUGACUUUACAGGUUGCAGCCAGCCUGCAGAGACCCUGCAAGGAGUUAGCACCAACCUUAUGCUCCAUCUUGCCUCCAAUCUUGUCAGCGCUACCCCAUCAGCUGAACAUAAUGGGAACUAGGGCUUGAGGGAGCCUGUUAAUGUAGUACAUCUAGGGUUAGCCUCUUGGGGCACACAGCAGGUGGAGAAGAGUAGGGAGAGGAUCUGAAGGGACAAACAGAAGCUUUCCAGCAGCACACUUGCCUACCUAUCUUACACACACACAGUUUGGCUGGUUCUUGAUCUUGACCUGUGACCAGAUACACCUAAAUAAACACUACUUUUCUCUCUGCUGACCUUGUCUCCUUCUAUAUUAUUUGUUUGCACAUUGAGGGACCCAGAGAUAGGCUGCAUGAUGUGUGAGAAGGGGACAUCAAAAAUCAAGUGACAAAAUACAUUUUUAUUUAAGUCUGAGUAUGGCAUUUGGGUAUCAGGAUAGCCCCAGCACUUCAGCCUCUAAGACAUUUUAUGUAGAGUGAAAC
rnacentral:lncRNA from 10 species